rnacentral:rRNA from 1 species
AUUGAACGCUGGCGGCAGGCCUAACACAUGCAAGUCGAGCGGCAGCACGGGUACUUGUACCUGGUGGCGAGCGGCGGACGGGUGAGUAAUGCCUAGGAAUCUGCCUGGUAGUGGGGGAUAACGUCCGGAAACGGGCGCUAAUACCGCAUACGUCCUACGGGAGAACGUGGGGGCGCUUAGGACCUCACGCUAUUAGAUGAGCCUAGGUCGGAUUAGCUAGUUGGUGAGGUAAUGGCUCACCAAGGCGACGAUCCGUAACUGGUCUGAGAGGAUGAUCAGUCACACUGGAACUGAGACACGGUCCAGACUCCUACGGGAGGCAGCAGUGGGGAAUAUUGGACAAUGGGCGAAAGCCUGAUCCAGCCAUGCCGCGUGUGUGAAGAAGGUCUUCGGAUUGUAAAGCACUUUAAGUUGGGAGGAAGGGCAGUUACCUAAUACGUGAUUGUUUUGACGUUACCGACAGAAUAAGCACCGGCUAACUCUGUGCCAGCCGCCGCAGUAA